GUAUCUCUACCACGCUGCGUUCCCUCCUCCAUCUAAUUUUCCAUCUAAUAUAUUCUCUCCCGUCACCUCCUUCCGAUCUCUCUCCGCCGGAGAGAAUUCAUCGCUGCCGAUUACACUGUCGGAGUUUCAAAUUCAUGCUUUAGUGCUUGAGCUUAUGCUGUAUGAUUCCUUGAUUGAAGGUUCAAUCUUGCUCUUCCCCGUAAUCAAUUUUGGUUUUCACUGAAGAAAAGAUUCAAAAAUUGAGGUUGUUCUUGAAGAAAAAAGUUUCUUAUUUUAUUCUUCAGAUCUGCUUACAGAUUUUAGAUGUCAACAACUUGGGCUUCAUCAUCAUCCUACUGGUGCUACAGAUGCAACCGAUUCAUCAGAGUUCUCACCCAUCCGCAAGAUUCUUCCCUAAUUUGCCCUGAUUGCAACGGCGGAUUCAUAGAGGAGAUUAACAGCGCCCAACUCUCCGGAUCAAUGCUGUCGGAAUCUAUCCACCGGAGGUUUCCGGCCGCCGCUAUGUACACGGCCGAAAACGACCAAAGCCCCAACCCGAGUCUUAGCUCUAGUCCUUUCCCUAACCUCACCCCGCCGGUGCUUCAACGGGCCAGAAGAAACACCGGUGAACGAUCUCCCUUCAACCCGGUCAUCGUCCUCCGUGGACCCACAAGCAAUUUAAGCACACCGGAAGCGUCUGAUGAAGCGACCACCGGAACAGGUGGAUUUGAGUUGUACUACGACGACGGAGCUGGGUCUGGGUUGAGGCCAUUACCGGCAAGUAUGUCGGAGUUUUUAUUGGGCUCUGGUUUUGAUCGUUUUCUGGAUCAAUUAUCUCAAAUUGACGCUAACGGAUUUGGGAGAAUCAGCAACAAUCCACCAGCAUCAAAGUCCGCGAUUGAAUCAAUGCCAACAAUCGAAAUCCAUGAAAAUCACAUCUCCACUGAAUCCCAUUGUGCUGUAUGUAAAGAACCAUUUGAUUUAGGAACAGACGCUAAAGAAAUGCCGUGUAAGCAUAUAUACCAUCCAGAUUGCAUUCUUCCAUGGCUAGCUUUACGUAACUCCUGCCCUGUCUGCCGCCAUGAACUACCACCGGAUAAUCAAGAUUCUAUAGAAUCCAACAGAUCACAAAUCAAUGAUAAUCACAAUAACAAUCAACCGGAAGAAGCAGUUGGGUUGACCAUAUGGCGGCUCCCUGGUGGUGGGUUUGCUGUGGGGAGGUUUUCCGGUGGGAUGAGAGGAGGUAAUAGAGAGUUUCCGGUGGUUUUUACAGAGAUGGACGGUGGUUUCAACAACCACAACAACAAUGGUGGUGCUCCAAGGAGGAUUUCAUGGGCUUUAAGAGGUAACAACAAUGGGGGUAGAGAGAGUGGUAGAUUCCGGCGACUUUUGCAUAGUUUUUUUUCUUGUUUUAAUGGUGGUGGGAGGGCAAUAGGGUCAAGUUCUAUGUCAAAUUCUUCAUCGACUUCUUCAUGGCGACAUAGAGCUUAGGGAUUUGAAGCAAAUAAUGGGGUUUUGAGACGAUAAUUUGAAUGGUUAAAGCCUUGAUAGGGUUAAGUUUCUUUUGGAUGUAAAUAUGAGAAGUGAAAAAGAAUAUCUGAAAUGGAAUUGAGAAGAGAAAAGAGGAUUAGUCACAAAAUGAAAAAUGAAGAAUGAAAGCUUGGAUGAAGAUUGUAUAAACUAUAAAGGUUCAAUUCUUAACUAAAACAUAAUAUUUUAAAUCUCUUUAGAUGUUAGGAAAUCAAUAAUGCACGAUUUUUAUAGCUCACAAGAAAUUAUUGUAAUAAGUAUUGUUAUUCAAUUUUGGUCUACUGUCAAAAAGUUAAUAAGUAUUGUUAUUCAA